rnacentral:misc_RNA from 1 species
GGCGGGAAGUCAUCAUUUCUGCUAUCCAGUCAACGGAUAACCCUCCAAGCCCGAAGACCUGCCGGCUAACGUCGCAUCUGGUUUUUCAUCAUCGCGUACUAUCGAUGAAGCCUGCGGCAUCCUUCUUAUAUUGUGGAUGCUUUACAAUGAUUAAAAAAGCUACGCUGCUGACGGCGUUCUCCGUCACGGCCUUUUCCGCUUGGGCGCAGGACACUAGCCCGGAUACCCUGGUUGUCACCGCCAACCGUUUUCAGCAGCCGCGCAGCGCGGUUCUGGCGCCCGUUACCAUCGUGACGCGUCAGGAUAUUGAACGCUGGCAAUCGACCUCCGUAAAUGAUGUUCUGCGCCGUUUGCCUGGCGUCGAUAUUGCGCAGAGCGGCGGCGCCGGACAAAACUCCUCCAUUUUCAUUCGCGGCACCAACUCCAGCCAUGUACUGGUAUUGAUUGACGGCGUGCGUCUGAAUUUAGC